rnacentral:rRNA from 1 species
UACGUAGGGUGCAAGCGUUUAAUCGGAAUUACUGGGCGUAAAGCGUGCGCAGGCGGUUUUGUAAGUCUGUCGUGAAAUCCCCGGGCUCAACCUGGGAAUUGCGAUGGAGACUGCAAGGCUAGAAUCUGGCAGAGGGGGGGUAGAAUUCCACGUGUAGCAGUGAAAUGCGUAGAGAUGUGGAGGAACACCGGAUGGCGGAAGGCAGCCCC